AGUGAACGCUGGUGGCGUGCCUAAUACAUGCAAGUCGAACGGAUUGGCGCACGGGUGAGUAAUGUAUAGCUAAUCUGCCCUACACUAUAGGACAACAGGUGGAAACGACUGCUAAUACUCUAUAGUGUAGGAUGGGGGUAUAUUGUAUCAGCUAGUUGGUGAGGUAAUGGCUCACCAAGGCUAUGACGGAUAACUUGUCUGAGAGGAUGAUCAGUCACGCUGUAACUGAGACAGGGGCCGGACUCCUACGGGAAGAAGCAGAAGGGAAUAUUGCUCAAUGGGCGAGACCCUGAAGGAGCAACGCGGCGUGGAGGAUUGCACUUUGCGAAGCGUAAACUCCUUUUGUUCGGGAAGCGGUACCUAACGAAUAAGCACCGGCUAACUCCGUGCCAGCAGCCGCGGUAAUAC
rnacentral:rRNA from 1 species